CCUACGGGGGGCUGCAGUGGGGAAUAUUGGACAAUGGGCGAAAGCCUGAUCCAGCCAUGCCGCGUGUGUGAAGAAGGCCUUCGGGUUGUAAAGCACUUUCAGUGGGGAAGAAAGCCUUGGGGCUAAUACCCUCGAGGAAGGACAUCACCCACAGAAGAAGCACCGGCUAACUCCGUGCCAGCAGCCGCGGUAAUACGGAGGGUGCGAGCGUUAAUCGGAAUUACUGGGCGUAAAGCGCGCGUAGGCGGUCUGAUAAGCCGGUUGUGAAAGCCCCGGGCUCAACCUGGGAACGGCAUCCGGAACUGUCAGGCUAGAGUGCAGGAGAGGAAGGUAGAAUUCCCGGUGUAGCGGUGAAAUGCGUAGAGAGCGGGAGGAAUACCAGUGGCGAAGGCGGCCUUCUGGACUGACACUGACGCUGAGGUGCGAAAGCGUGGGUAGCAAACAGGAUUAGAUACCCUUGUAGUC
rnacentral:rRNA from 1 species